AUUGAACGCUGGCGGCAGGCCUAACACAUGCAAGUCGAGCGGGGUUUUCGGACCUAGCGGCGGACGGGUGAGUAAUGCGUAGGAAGCUACCCGAUAGAGGGGGAUACCAGUUGGAAACGACUGUUAAUACCGCAUAAUGUCUACGGACCAAAGUGUGGGACCUUCGGGCCACAUGCUAUCGGAUGCGCCUACGUGGGAUUAGCUAGUUGGUGGGGUAAUGGCUCACCAAGGCGACGAUCGGUAGCUGGUCUGAGAGGAUGAUCAGCCACACUGGAACUGAGACACGGUCCAGACUCCUACGGAGGCAGCAGUGGGAAUAUUGGACAAUGGGCGCAAGCCUGAUCCAGCCAUGCCGCGUGCAGGACGAAGGCCUUCGGGUUGUAAACUAGCUUUGUUACAGAACGAAAAGGACGUCUGGUUAAUACCUGGGCGUCAUGACGGUACUGUAAGAAUAAGCACCGGCUAACUACGU
rnacentral:rRNA from 1 species